rnacentral:miRNA from 1 species
AAGCUCUAUUCUCUCUUACAG